rnacentral:snoRNA from 1 species
AGCCUGUGGCAGAACCUGUCAGGGCUCUGGUUACUGACGGGCUUUGAACCUGGCUAAAUUAGCGGCACAGCAUGCAACUCCGGGAGAUAGGGCUCUAAAAUAAUAGCCCCGUCCAUCGAAUGCACGGCUGACAGCU